ACUCAAAGGAAUUGACGGGGGCUCACACAAGCGGAGGAGCAUGUUGUUCAAUUCGAAGCAACGCGAAGAACCUUACCUGGGUUUGACAUGCAUGAAGUAGGAUCCUGAAAGGGUGACGACCGGUAUCCAAUCCGGAACAUGCACAGGUGCUGCAUGGCUGUCGUCAGCUCGUGUCGUGAGACGUUAGGUUAAGUCCUGUAACGAGCGAAACCCCUGUCGUCUGUUGCCACCGGGUCAUGCCGGGCACUCUGACGAGACUGCCGAUGUUAAAUCGGAGGAAGGUGGGGACGACGUCAAGUCAUCAUGGUCCUUACGCCCAGGGCUACAAACGUGCUACAAUGGCCGGUACAGAGAGACGCAAUGCCGCGAGGCGGAGCAAAUCUUCAAAACCGGCCCCAGUUCGGAUUGGAGGCUGAAAUUCGCCUCCAUGAAGUUGGAUUCGCUAGUAAUCGCGGAUCAGCCACGCCGCGGUGAAUACGUUCCUGAGCCUUGUACACACCGCCCGU
rnacentral:rRNA from 1 species